GACGAACGCUGGCGGCGUGCUUAACACAUGCAAGUCGAACGGAAAGGCCCUGCUUGCCGGGUACUCGAGUGGCGAACGGGUGAGUAACACGUGGGUGAUCUGCCCUGCACUUCGGGAUAAGCCUGGGAAACUGGGUCUAAUACCGGAUAGGAGCCAUUUUUAGUGUGAUGGUUGGAGAGUUUUUUCGGUGUAGGAUGAGCUCGCGGCCUAUCAGCUUGUUGGUGGGGUAAUGGCCUACCAAGGCGGCGACGGGUAGCCGGCCUGAGAGGGUGGACGGCCACAUUGGGACUGAGAUACGGCCCAGACUCCUACGGGAGGCAGCAGUGGGGAAUAUUGCACAAUGGGCGCAAGCCUGAUGCAGCGACGCCGCGUGGGGGAUGACGGCCUUCGGGUUGUAAACUCCUUUCGCUAGGGACGAAGCUUUUUGUGACGGUACCUAGAGAAGAAGCACCGGCUAACUACGUG
rnacentral:rRNA from 1 species